CCUACGGGUGGCUGCAGUAGGGAAUAUUGGACAAUGGGCGAGAGCCUGAUCCAGCCAUGCCGCGUGCAGGAAGAAGGCCUUCUGGGUUGUAAACUGCUUUUGCCAGGGGAUAAAAGACCCGUGCGCGGGGAAUUGAAGGUACCUGGUGAAUAAGCCACGGCUAACUACGUGCCAGCAGCCGCGGUAAUACGUAGGUGGCAAGCGUUGUCCGGAUUUAUUGGGUUUAAAGGGUGCGUAGGCGGCCCUGUAAGUCAGUGGUGAAAUACGGCAGCUCAACUGUCGAGGUGCCAUUGAUACUGCUGGGCUUGAGUACAGACGAGGUAGGCGGAAUUGACGGUGUAGCGGUGAAAUGCUUAGAUAUCGUCAAGAACACCGAUAGCGAAGGCAGCUUACUAGACUGUAACUGACGCUGAGGCACGAAAGUGUGGGGAUCAAACAGGAUUAGAUACCCGAGUAGUCC
rnacentral:rRNA from 1 species